CCUACGGGAGGCAGCAGUGAGGAAUAUUGGUCAAUGGGCUUACGCCUGAACCAGCCAAGUCGCGUGAGGGAAGACUGCCCUAUGGGUUGUAAACCUCUUUUGUCAGGGAGCAAUUGGCGCUACGUGUAGCGUUAUCGAGAGUACCUGAAGAAAAAGCAUCGGCUAACUCCGUGCCAGCAGCCGCGGUAAUACGGAGGAUGCGAGCGUUAUCCGGAUUUAUUGGGUUUAAAGGGUGCGUAGGCGGAAUGCCAAGUCAGCGGUAAAAUCGCGGGGCUCAACCUCGCUCCGCCGUUGAAACUGGCGGUCUUGAGUGGGCGAGAGGUAUGCGGAAUGCGUGGUGUAGCGGUGAAAUGCAUAGAUAUCACGCAGAACUCCGAUUGCGAAGGCAGCAUACCGGCGCCCAACUGACGCUGAAGCACGAAAGCGUGGGUAUCGAACAGGAUUAGAUACCCUAGUAGUC
rnacentral:rRNA from 1 species